rnacentral:rRNA from 1 species
UGAGGAAUUUUGCGCAAUGGGGGGAACCCUGACGCAGCAACGCCGCGUGAGUGAAGAAGGCCUUCGGGUCGUAAAGCUCUGUCGAGUGGGAAGAACAUUUUCAUGGUGAACAUCCAUGGGGAUUGACGGUACCACAGAAGGAAGCACCGGCUAACUCCGUGCCAGCAGCCGCGGUAAUACGGAGGGUGCAAGCGUUAUUCGGAAUUAUUGGGCGUAAAGAGCGCGUAGGCGGCCUGUCAAGUCAGGUGUGAAAUCCCGGGGCUCAACCCCGGAAGCGCAUUUGAUACUGUAGGGCUUGAGUAUGGGAGAGGGAAGUGGAAUUCCUGGUGUAGCGGUGAAAUGCGUAGAUAUCAGGAGGAACACCGGUGGCGAAGGCGGCUUCCUGGACCAAUACUGACGCUG